rnacentral:rRNA from 1 species
GUCGAGCGGUAGAGAGAAGCUUGCUUCUCUUGAGAGCGGCGGACGGGUGAGUAAUACCUAGGAAUCUGCCUGAUAGUGGGGGAUAACGUUCGGAAACGGACGCUAAUACCGCAUACGUCCUACGGGGGAAAGCAGGGGACCUUCGGGCCUUGCGCUAUCAGAUGAGCCUAGGUCGGAUUAGCUAGUUGGUGGGGUAAUGGCUCACCAUGGCGAUGAUACAUAGCCGAGUUGAGAGACUGAUCGGCCACAUUGGAACUGAGACACGGUCCAAACUCCUACGGGAGGCAGCAGUAGGGAAUCUUCCACAAUGGGCGAAAGCCUGAUGGAGCAACGCCGCGUGUGUGAUGAAGGCUUUCGGGUCGUAAAGCACUGUUGUAUGGGAAGAAAUGCUAAAAUAGGGAAUGAUUUUAGUUUGACGGUACCAUACCAGAAAGGGACGGCUAAAUAC